rnacentral:rRNA from 1 species
UACGUAGGGGGCAAGCGUUAUCCGGAUUUACUGGGUGUAAAGGGAGCGUAGACGGCAGGGCAAGUCUGGAGUAAAAGGCAGGGGCCCAACCCCUGGACUGCUCUGGAAACUGUCCGGCUGGAGUGCAGGAGAGGUAAGUGGAAUUCCUAGUGUAGCGGUGAAAUGCGUAGAUAUUAGGAGGAACACCAGUGGCGAAGGCGGCUUACUGGACUGUAACUGACGUUGAGGCUCGAAAGCGUGGGGAGCAAACAGG